GACGAACGCUGGCGGCGUGCUUAAUACAUGCAAGUAGAACGGUGAGGCCCUGCUCUUGUGCUUUUCUCGUGUGUCGAACGGGUGAGUAACACGUGUGUAUCCUGCCCUUUGUUUUGGGAGAACUCCAUUAGACUCGGUCGCUUACAGCACAGAACAACCGGCUGCCCGGUGGGUGUUUUAAAGUUUCGGCGGUUGGGGACGGCCAUGCGGCUUAUCAGCUUAUUGGUGGGGUAGUGGCUUACCAAGGCUUUGAGGGGUAGCCGGCCUGGGAGGGUGACAGGCCACAGUGGGCCAGGGAUAGGGCCCGGAGGCAUACGUGAGGCAGCAGGGGGGAAUAGUGCAAGAUGGGCGGAAGGCGGAAGCAGCAACGCCGGGUGCGGGAUGACGGCCGUCGGGUUGUAAACCGCUUGAGCCUGGGAAGAAGCGUGAGUGACGGUAAUGGGUAAAGAAGCACCGGCUAACUACGUG
rnacentral:rRNA from 1 species